rnacentral:rRNA from 1 species
CCUACGGGGGGCUGUAGUGGGGAAUAUUGGACAAUGGGGGGAACCCUGAUCCAGCCAUGCCGCGUGUGUGAAGAAGGCCCUCGGGUUGUAAAGCACUUUCAGUGAGGAAGAACGCCUGGUGGUUAAUACCCAUCAGGAAAGACAUCACUCACAGAAGAAGCACCGGCUAACUCCGUGCCAGCAGCCGCGGUAAUACGGAGGGUGCGAGCGUUAAUCGGAAUUACUGGGCGUAAAGCGCGCGUAGGUGGCUUGAUAAGCCGGUUGUGAAAGCCCCGGGCUCAACCUGGGAACGGCAUCCGGAACUGUCAAGCUAGAGUGCAGGAGAGGAAGGUAGAAUUCCCGGUGUAGCGGUGAAAUGCGUAGAGAUCGGGAGGAAUACCAGUGGCGAAGGCGGCCUUCUGGACUGACACUGACACUGAGGUGCGAAAGCGUGGGUAGCAAACAGGAUUAGAUACCCUAGUAGUC